CAGUUUCUCUCGAGUUUACGGCCUGUUCUCUUCAUUUCUCUGAUGGUGCUAUCAAACCAGGGUGCAUUGUUGUAGGUUUUGAUAGUGUGUAUGCGUGUUGGUGCAAUGCUUUCUAGGGUAUCUCUCAUGGUUUUGUUGUAAAGUCAGACUAAGGAGCUGGGGUCUUCACAGGUGCUCAUUAGUUCACUUAGAUCCAUAUGUGAUCUUACAUCCAAUGGCGUCAUCCCUUUAAAUGAGCGGUGUUUGACCAGGUUCUGUGGCUUGAGUCUGGCUGAUUGAAAUACAAUGGAGAAGUGAAUGGAGUGGUGGUCUGACCAAACAACUGGAUUUACAGUUACUGGUGACACCGCCAGUUCAGACUGGAACACUAGAUCAAGUGGGUCUUUU